rnacentral:rRNA from 1 species
UUUCCGUASGUCAACCUGCGGAAGGAUCAUUGUCGAAACCCCAAAGGUACGACCCGAGCACUCGUAAAUUAACUAAMSGGGGGCGUCGAGAAGUGCUUCCUCACGGUCGCCUUCUCGUCUCCCUCAUCCGUCGGGCCGGCCCCAUCCCGGACGUCCUUCGUCAGUCGGCGGCGCCGUGUCCGAGGGAGACAACCCAAACCCGGGCGCAGGUUGCGCCAAGGAAAAUGAACAUAAGAGCGAUCACCAUGCCUUCCCCUCGCGCUCGCAUCGUCGGCGCGAGGAAAGGCGGUGUCGUCAUCGGCAAAGAUGACUCUCGGCAACGGAUAUCUCGGCUCUCGCAUCGAUGAAGAACGUAGCGAAAUGCGAUACUUGGUGUGAAUUGCAGAAUCCCGUGAACCAUCGAGUCUUUGAACGCAAGUUGCGCCCGAGGCCAUUAAGGCCGAGGGCACGUCUGUCUGGGCGUCGCACGUCGCGUCACCUGCCAGCCAUCCAUCCUCCUUUGAGGGGCGGGGCAGGUGGACUAUGGCCUCCCGUGCCUCGGGACAGAGGCGCGGUUGGCCCAAAUCGGAAGCCGGGGCGACGGACGCCGCGACAAUGGGUGGUAUCGGCAAAGCGGUUACGACGACUUUGUCGCGGCCCCUCUCCCCGACCUCGCUUGGUCCGACCCCGUUGUGCCGUGCUCGGAGGCACUCUGCGGCGACCCCAGAUCAGUCGGGAUUACCC